rfam:Brachypodium distachyon strain Bd21 chromosome 1, whole genome shotgun sequence.
AUAUUACUCUUUCCGUCCAACAAAAGAUGUCUCAAGUUUGUCAAAAUUUAAAUGUAUUUAGACAUAACUUAGUGUAUAGAUGCAUUCAAAUUUAAUCAAAAUCGAGACAUCUUUUGUUGGACGGAGAAAGUAUAUU